GAUGAACGCUGGCGGCGUGCCUAAUACAUGCAAGUCGAGCGAACAGACAAGGAGCUUGCUCCUUUGACGUUAGCGGCGGACGGGUGAGUAACACGUGGGUAACCUACCUAUAAGACUGGGAUAACUUCGGGAAACCGGAGCUAAUACCGGAUAAUAUUUCGAACCGCAUGGUUCGAUAGUGAAAGAUGGUUUUGCUAUCACUUAUAGAUGGACCCGCGCCGUAUUAGCUAGUUGGUAAGGUAACGGCUUACCAAGGCGACGAUACGUAGCCGACCUGAGAGGGUGAUCGGCCACACUGGAACUGAGACACGGUCCAGACUCCUACGGGAGGCAGCAGUAGGGAAUCUUCCGCAAUGGGCGAAAGCCUGACGGAGCAACGCCGCGUGAGUGAUGAAGGUCUUCGGAUCGUAAAACUCUGUUAUUAGGGAAGAACAUACGUGUAAGUAACUAUGCACGUCUUGACGGUACCUAAUCAGAAAGCCACGGCUAACUACGUGCCAGCAGCCGCGGUAAUACGUAGGUGGCAAGCGUUAUCCGGAAUUAUUGGGCGUAAAGCGCGCGUAGGCGGUUUUUUAAGUCUGAUGUGAAAGCCCACGGCUCAACCGUGGAGGGUCAUUGGAAACUGGAAAACUUGAGUGCAGAAGAGGAAAGUGGAAUUCCAUGUGUAGCGGUGAAAUGCGCAGAGAUAUGGAGGAACACCAGUGGCGAAGGCGACUUUCUGGUCUGUAACUGACGCUGACGUGCGAAAGCGUGGGGAUCAAACAGGAUUAGAUACCCUGGUAGUCCACGCCGUAAACGAUGAGUGCUAAGUGUUAGGGGGUUUCCGCCCCUUAGUGCUGCAGCUAACGCAUUAAGCACUCCGCCUGGGGAGUACGACCGCAAGGUUGAAACUCAAAGGAAUUGACGGGGACCCGCACAAGCGGUGGAGCAUGUGGUUUAAUUCGAAGCAACGCGAAGAACCUUACCAAAUCUUGACAUCCUUUGACAACUCUAGAGAUAGAGCUUCCCCCUUCGGGGGACAAAGUGACAGGUGGUGCAUGGUUGUCGUCAGCUCGUGUCGUGAGAUGUUGGGUUAAGUCCCGCAACGAGCGCAACCCUUAAGCUUAGUUGCCAUCAUUAAGUUGGGCACUCUAAGUUGACUGCCGGUGACAAACCGGAGGAAGGUGGGGAUGACGUCAAAUCAUCAUGCCCCUUAUGAUUUGGGCUACACACGUGCUACAAUGGACAAUACAAAGGGCAGCGAAACCGCGAGGUCAAGCAAAUCCCAUAAAGUUGUUCUCAGUUCGGAUUGUAGUCUGCAACUCGACUACAUGAAGCUGGAAUCGCUAGUAAUCGUAGAUCAGCAUGCUACGGUGAAUACGUUCCCGGGUCU
rnacentral:rRNA from 1 species